rnacentral:rRNA from 1 species
UACGAAGGGUGCAAGCGUUAAUCGGAAUUACUGGGCGUAAAGGGUGCGUAGGCGGUCGGGUAAGUCUGAUGUGAAAUCUCACAGCUUAACUGUGAAACUGCAUUGGAUACUAUCUGGCUCGAGGAAUGGAGGGGAGACUGGAAUACUUGGUGUAGCAGUGAAAUGCGUAGAUAUCAAGUGGAACACCAGUGGCGAAGGCGAGUCUCUGGACAUUUCCUGACGCUGAGGCACGAAAGCCAGGGGAGCAAACGGG